rnacentral:rRNA from 1 species
CGGGACACGUGGUAUCCUGUCUGAAUAUGGGGGGACCAUCCUCCAAGGCUAAAUACUCCUGACUGACCGAUAGUGAACCAGUACCGUGAGGGAAAGGCGAAAAGAACCCCGGCGAGGGGAGUGAAAAAGAACCUGAAACCGUGUACGUACAAGCAGUGGGAGCCUCUUUAUGGGGUGACUGCGUACCUUUUGUAUAAUGGGUCAGCGACUUAUAUUCUGUAGCAAGGUUAACCGAAUAGGGGAGCCGAAGGGAAACCGAGUCUUAACUGGGCGUUAAGUUGCAGGGUAUAGACCCGAAACCCGGUGAUCUAGCCAUGGGCAGGUUGAAGGUUGGGUAACACUAACUGGAGGACCGAACCGACUAAUGUUGAAAAAUUAGCGGAUGACUUGUGGCUGGGGGUGAAAGGCCAAUCAAACCGGGAGAUAGCUGGUUCUCCCCGAAAGCUAUUUAGGUAGCGCCUCGUGAAUUCAUCUCCGGGGGUAGAGCACUGUUUCGGCAAGGGGGUCAUCCCGACUUACCAACCCGAUGCAAACUGCGAAUACCGGAGAAUGUUAUCACGGGAGACACACGGCGGGUGCUAACGUCCGUCGUGAAGAGGGAAACAACCCAGACCGCCAGCUAAGGUCCCAAAGUCAUGGUUAAGUGGGAAACGAUGUGGGAAGGCCCAGACAGCCAGGAUGUUGGCUUAGAAGCAGCCAUCAUUUAAAGAAAGCGUAAUAGCUCACUGGUCGAGUCGGCCUGCGCGGAAGAUGUAACGGGGCUAAACCAUGCACCGAAGCUGCGGCAGCGACACUAAGUGUUGUUGGGUAGGGGAGCGUUCUGUAAGCCUGUGAAGGUGUACUGUGAGGUAUGCUGGAGGUAUCAGAAGUGCGAAUGCUGACAUAAGUAACGAUAAAGCGGGUGAAAAGCCCGCUCGCCGGAAGACCAAGGGUUCCUGUCCAACGUUAAUCGGGGCAGGGUGAGUCGACCCCUAAGGCGAGGCCGAAAGGCGUAGUCGAUGGGAAACAGGUUAAUAUUCCUGUACUUGGUGUUACUGCGAAGGGGGGACGGAGAAGGCUAUGUUGGCCGGGCGACGGUUGUCCCGGUUUAAGCGUGUAGGCUGGUUUUCCAGGCAAAUCCGGAAAAUCAAGGCUGAGGCGUGAUGACGAGGCACUACGGUGCUGAAGCAACAAAUGCCCUGCUUCCAGGAAAAGCCUCUAAGCAUCAGGUAACAUCAAAUCGUACCCCAAACCGACACAGGUGGUCAGGUAGAGAAUACCAAGGCGCUUGAGAGAACUCGGGUGAAGGAACUAGGCAAAAUGGUGCCGUAACUUCGGGAGAAGGCACGCUGAUAUGUAGGUGAAGCGACUUGCUCGUGGAGCUGAAAUCAGUCGAAGAUACCAGCUGGCUGCAACUGUUUAUUAAAAACACAGCACUGUGCAAACACGAAAGUGGACGUAUACGGUGUGACGCCUGCCCGGUGCCGGAAGGUUAAUUGAUGGGGUUAGCGCAAGCGAAGCUCUUGAUCGAAGCCCCGGUAAACGGCGGCCGUAACUAUAACGGUCCUAAGGUAGCGAAAUUCCUUGUCGGGUAAGUUCCGACCUGCACGAAUGGCGUAAUGAUGGCCAGGCUGUCUCCACCCGAGACUCAGUGAAAUUGAACUCGCUGUGAAGAUGCAGUGUACCCGCGGCAAGACGGAAAGACCCCGUGAACCUUUACUAUAGCUUGACACUGAACAUUGAGCCUUGAUGUGUAGGAUAGGUGGGAGGCUUUGAAGUGUGGACGCCAGUCUGCAUGGAGCCGACCUUGAAAUACCACCCUUUAAUGUUUGAUGUUCUAACGUUGGCCCCUGAUCGGGGUUGCGGACAGUGUCUGGUGGGUAGUUUGACUGGGGCGGUCUCCUCCUAAAGAGUAACGGAGGAGCACGAAGGUUGGCUAAUCCUGGUCGGACAUCAGGAGGUUAGUGCAAUGGCAUAAGCCAGCUUGACUGCGAGCGUGACGGCGCGAGCAGGUGCGAAAGCAGGUCAUAGUGAUCCGGUGGUUCUGAAUGGAAGGGCCAUCGCUCAACGGAUAAAAGGUACUCCGGGGAUAACAGGCUGAUACCGCCCAAGAGUUCAUAUCGACGGCGGUGUUUGGCACCUCGAUGUCGGCUCAUCACAUCCUGGGGCUGAAGUAGGUCCCAAGGGUAUGGCUGUUCGCCAUUUAAAGUGGUACGCGAGCUGGGUUUAGAACGUCGUGAGACAGUUCGGUCCCUAUCUGCCGUGGGCGCUGGAGAACUGAGGGGGGCUGCUCCUAGUACGAGAGGACCGGAGUGGACGCAUCACUGGUGUUCGGGUUGUCAUGCCAAUGGCACUGCCCGGUAGCUAAAUGCGGAAGAGAUAAGUGCUGAAAGCAUCUAAGCACGAAACUUGCCCCGAGAUGAGUUCUCCCUGAGACUUUAAGUCUCCUGAAGGAACGUUGAAGACGACGACGUUGAUAGGCCGGGUGUGUAAGCGCAGCGAUGCGUUGAGCUAACCGGUACUAAUGAACCGUGAG